rnacentral:rRNA from 1 species
AUUGAACGCUGGCGGCAUGCCUUACACAUGCAAGUCGAACGCGAAAGUAGGGGCAACCCUGCGAGUAGAGUGGCGAACGGGUGAGUAAUGCAUCGGAACAUUUCCAGUAGCGGGGGAUAACCUCGAGAAAUCGAGGCUAAUACCGCAUACGUCCUACGGGAGAAAGCGGGGGACCGCAAGGCCUCGCACUAUUGGAGUGGCCGAUGCCGGAUUAGCUAGUUGGCGGGGUAAAAGCCCACCAAGGCGACGAUCCGUAGCUGGUCUGAGAGGAUGAUCAGCAAAACUGGGACUGAGAGACGGCCCAGACUCCUACGGGAGUCAGCAGUGGGGAAUUUUGGACAAUGGGCGCAAGCCUGAUCCAGCCAUGCCGCGUGAGUGAAGAAGGCCUUCGGGUUGUAAAGCUCUUUCGGCCGGGACGAAAUCGCACCCUUUAAUACGGGGCGUGGAUGACGGUACCGGAAGAAGAAGGACCGGCUAACUACGUGCCAGCCGCCGCCGUAA